rnacentral:pre_miRNA from 1 species
AUGCUACUCCCUCCGUCCGGAAAUACUUGUCCUCGAAAUGGUUGUAUCUAGACUUAUUUUAGUUAUAGAUACAUCCAUUUUAUCCAUUUCGAGGACAAGUAUUUUCGGACAGAGGGAGUAUAAG